rnacentral:tRNA from 1 species
GGGGCUAUGGUGUAGCCUGGUCUAGCAUUGCGGCUUUGGGAGCCGUUGACGAGAGUUCAAAUCUCUCUAGCCCCA